ACGGAUAGACCAUAUAAGGCACUAAAAAAAAACGCAACGCCUUGGCAUGAAAGACCUGGUUUGACCCUUUUUCUCCAGUAAUUUGCACACUACACUGUUAAUUUUCCAUCUUUCUCAACUCUCCAUUAGUGACCAACAUGUAUAGGAAUUUAUAAAUUACACCGAAUACAUUGAUAGCAUUAAUCAUAGAAUUUUUUUUAAAAUUCACUAUCUCUAAAAGUUACAACAAUGAAGUUGCCUUUUUCAUCGCCUUUCUGAAGACCAACUGCAAAGAAACCAACCGAAGACAACCACAAAGAGAAAGAGAUCAGAGAAAAGCAAGGAUUGCAAUGAUGGGGAAGGAGGUCCUCGUCGACCAGCAAGGGGCAUCGUCAUCAGGGACCAACAACCGCCAAGUAGUAACAGAUCUAGAGAAGCUCAACAAGGCAAUUCUGAUGAUCUCCUGACUCAGACCAUAGUUUCUCUCGCAUGAAUUCCAUUGCUAACGCUUUGUAUUCUCUUAAUUUUCAGCUCCUGCUCCAGGACAGUCUGCAGGACCAGUUCGAGAUCAAGGGAUGGUUGGCCUACAGAAUCAAGAGGGAAAGGCUUACUCAGGUCCAUAUAUAACUAUGAAAUCCACACCUUAAGAGGUUAAUCCAUUUUGAGACCUAUCUUAAGUUUUAUGAAGACAUUAAUGAAGCUGCUUUUCGUUUCAUCACCUUUCUGAAGAUCGUGACUUACCGUUGAAGAAAAGAAUGAGUGUAAGAGCAAUAGUGGAUGGCAAUGGUGGCAAUCAGGAAGGAGCCCCAGUGGCAGAGAGUAAUCCACCACCAUCGGCUCAGCAACGCUAUAGACGGGACCACGCAGCGAAAGGAAAAGAGCAUCGGGCUUUAUAGAUUAUGGAUUACUUUGCUUGAUAAAUAAC
rnacentral:lncRNA from 1 species